rnacentral:rRNA from 1 species
UACAGAGGUCUCAAGCGUUGUUCGGGAUUCAUUGGGCGUAAAGGGUGCGUAGGUGGCGCCGUAAGUCAGGUGUGAAAUUUCGGAGCUUAACUCCGAAACUGCAUUCGAUACUGCCGUGCUUGAGGACUGGAGAGGAGACUGGAAUUUACGGUGUAGCGGUGAAAUGCGUAGAUAUCGUAAGGAAGACCAGUGGCGAAGGCGGGUCUCUGGACAGUUCCUGACGCUGAGGCACGAAGGUCAGGGGAGCAAACGGG